GAGUUUGAUCCUGGCUCAGAUUGAACGCUGGCGGCAUGCCUUACACAUGCAAGUCGAACGGUAACAGGUCUUCGGACGCUGACGAGUGGCGAACGGGUGAGUAAUACAUCGGAACGUGCCCAGUCGUGGGGGAUAACUACUCGAAAGAGUAGCUAAUACCGCAUACGAUCUGAGGAUGAAAGCGGGGGACCUUCGGGCCUCGCGCGAUUGGAGCGGCCGAUGGCAGAUUAGGUAGUUGGUGGGAUAAAAGCUUACCAAGCCGACGAUCUGUAGCUGGUCUGAGAGGACGACCAGCCACACUGGGACUGAGACACGGCCCAGACUCCUACGGGAGGCAGCAGUGGGGAAUUUUGGACAAUGGGCGAAAGCCUGAUCCAGCAAUGCCGCGUGCAGGAUGAAGGCCUUCGGGUUGUAAACUGCUUUUGUACGGAACGAAAAAGCUCCUUCUAAUACAGGGGCCCAUGACGGUACCGUAAGAAUAAGCACCGGCUAACUACGUG
rnacentral:rRNA from 1 species